rfam:Carollia perspicillata clone 29G20, complete sequence.
GCCCUGCAAGUGUCUUCUAGGGUCGCAAGUACAGAAAGUAAUUAUAAUAGGAUCUUAAUAAACUUGCAGUCCACCAACCGAGUCAUUAGAAAACAAUCACAAAGAAAACUGACACCAACAGUAACUCCAGAGCCGCAAAGUAUAUUUUGCAAGAAGGGUAACAGCCUUUCUUGAAGUCUGGAAAUAGUGGG